GGAAGGAUCAUUACAAAUCCAAAGUCACCCUCACCGGUCGACAACGUUGAACCCCCCCCCCCUCCCGGUCCUCCGUCUCCUCAGGGCGACAGAGGCCCGGCUAUUUGACACCUGCGCGACAUGACACCCACGACCGUACCAACAAUCACAACAACCUAGAAACAACUUAUAACAAUGGAUCUCUAGGCUCUUGCAUCGAUGAAGAACGCAGCCAGACGCGAAAUGUGUUAUGACUUGCAAUCUUCGCGAAUCAUCCAAUCUUUGAACGCAACUUGCACCCUUGGGCUUGUCCCUCGGGUAUACUUGUUUGAGUAUCGUCUAUGCUCUCGCGCCGCCCCGGACCACCACGGUCCGGGGGCGGGUGCGGACGUGAGGCGUAGGGUGCCGGCCGCUUCACCGUGGCGCGGGGCCCUUGCCUUGAAAUGCAUGAUCUGACGCCAGUCCUGCGCGCGGCGCCGGCCCUGCCCUUCGGGGGAGGGGCGGCGGCGCGUGCCAGAGGGUGGGACAGUCUUGCCCGGGUGUGCGUCCCUCCUUCCUUGCGGGAGGGGGGCGCGCCUCGGGGGCCUACACUUGGGAUAACGUCCAUCAAGUCAGGCUGCUGUCCCGGCCGUCUCUGCUCCCGUGCCAGGGAGGGACCGGACGCCCCGUUGCGGGGAGGAUUGUAACCUCCCGACGGAUCACAGGAACGGAGCGGGUCGAGGCCUUCACGGGCCCCGGCUCCGCCCCACACACACACACCGACGUUACCGAUCUCAAAUCAAGUAAGAUUACCCGCUGAACUUAAGCAUAUCAGUAAGCGGAGGAAAAGAAACUAACAAGGAUUCCCUCAGUAACGGCGAGUGAACCGGGAAAAGCUCAAAUUUGGAAUCUGGCGUCCGUGAGGGCGUCCGAGUUGUCAAUGAGAGGGCCGUCUUGUGCCGACCGACAGAGUCCAAGUCCCUUGGAAUAGGGCGCCAUGGAGGGUGACAGCCCCGUACGGCUCUGGUACUCGGAAGGCAGGAUCAAGGCGACCCAACGAGUCGGAUAGUUUGGGAAUGCUGUCCUAAAUGGGUGAUACAUGUCAUCUAAAGCUAAAUAUGAGCAAGAGACCGAUAGCAAACAAGUACCGUGAGGGAAAGAUGAAAAGGACUUUGAAAAGAGAGUCAAAAGUACGUGAAAUUGUUAUAAGGGAAACGAUUCUCUCUGCGCCAGGACAGGACGUCUCAGGGCUGACCCGCAAGGGCCGGCCCGUACGACGGCCUGACCCGGUUGAUCCGCUUGGGGUGCCCAGCAGAAGCGCCCUGGGAAGGUGGCUCCCCGCAAGGGGGUAGCUUUAUAGACCCGGGAGCGCGGCCGGUGCCCGCCCCAAGCGUCGACGUUUGUCGAGGCAGACCCUCCAGACCGCCCGGGGCCUACAUGGCCCGGGGCGGCCGCCAGGGCCCGUCAUCAACGCCGUGGAGCGAACCGACCCGUCUUGAAACACGGACCAAGGAGUGCAACUAUGAUGCGAGUCAUUGGGUGGCAAACCCAAAGGCGCAACGAAAGUAAGCUUCGGCGCGUGGGAUGGCCCGUCACAGGGCCCGCACCACGACCCGGUCCUGACCGUUGGUCUGGAUCGAGGUAGAGCAUCAUGGCUGCGACCCGAAAGAUGGUGAACUAUGCCUGACUAGGGUGAAGCCAGAGGAAACUCUGGUGGAGGCUCGUAGACAUUCUGACGUGCAAAUCGAUGUUCAAAGUUGGGUAUAGGGGCGAAAGACUAAUCGAACCAUCUAGUAGCUGGUUCCCUC
rnacentral:misc_RNA from 1 species